GGGCUCCAUCUCCAGUGCCUACUGAGCUGAUUACAGUUGAUUUAUUGAGCACUGGCUCAGUUCAGCAGGAACCGGAGUUCUGCCUCUUA
rnacentral:miRNA from 1 species